GCUCCACAGCAUGUGGGUGAAUUUACUCGAGGUAGCGUAUGCAGGGGUUUCAAUCUCCCCUGCAAACCAUUUGAAUAUAGGCCGCUGAUUUAUUACCUUAUUUGGUCUGUCUUCUGUAUGCAAAUGCAUUAGUGGGGGGUGGCGGGCAGUAGGGUUGAGGGUGGCGGCGGCAGUGGUUCUGUCGUUGGUGGUGAGGGGGGGGCACACUUUGGUUGUAUGCAUAAUGAGAUUCCCAGGGUCAUCCCUCUGGUGUGUCAGGGACCCGUUCUGAAGCAAGCCUCCAGGGGAUGUAGAAGAAGAUGGGUGGGGGUGGAGGGCGUCGGGGCGGGGUAGGAGAGCUAAGGGGAAGGUUGCAGGGGAAUGGGCUGCACUAGGCAUAGUCCUCAGGUGCCCCCCGCACCGCCACCUCCACCAACUCCAACCUUCGCGGCCCCUCCUAAACUCCUGGCAGUUCAUCAGCCUAUCUGCUGCCAGCUCCAGCUACCCCUGCCACCCAGCCUAGCUUGCACUAAGUGUCUUCUGUGACUCUUGGCUCAGUGGAAGUGCAUUAGCCCCCAUGACAAUAUAUCCCCCUCCCCCGCCAAUUAUGGAUCUGAUCUGUGUGUUUAAUAAUUGCCCUCUUCAGACGCAUUCAAUUGUGUCCAAAUGGGAGUGGAAUUGAUUUUUUUUUUUUUUUUGGUAGGAUAUUAGCCGAUUACUUUGAGUGCUCCCCUAAUUUGAAUCGAUUUGAAUAAUGGUUAUUCAUGUGAUCUUUGCCUUUGCUACUGUGCCACGCAACGACACGCCCUCAAGGUGCAGCGCUGCCACUGUGAUAAGUGCACUGUACGCCCAAGUGCUGGCAUGCGCACACACAGUUUGAUAUUACACGUUGUUUCAUAACUCGAGAAAUGUAAAACGAUUAAUACGUUACAAGUUAGGGGAUACGAGGGAAAUUGCGGGGCGCGGAUUAAUGCGUAAUCUGAAGAGUCAUCUCCUCAGCCGAUCACAAUCGGGCUUAAAUUGAAUCAGAAUCAGAGCGGCGCCUUUGAGUGUGGCAGUUUAAACUCUAAAUAAAUAUAUGGUUUUCAUUUGCCUGCUUGCAC
ensembl:lncRNA